rnacentral:rRNA from 1 species
CUACGGGGUGCUGCAGUGGGGAAUAUUGCACAAUGGAGGGAACUCUGAUGCAGCAACGCCGCGUGGAGGAUGACACAUUUCGGUGCGUAAACUCCUUUUAUAUAAGAAGAUAAUGACGGUAUUAUAUGAAUAAGCACCGGCUAACUCCGUGCCAGCAGCCGCGGUAAUACGGGGGGUGCAAGCGUUACUCGGAAUCACUGGGCGUAAAGCGCAUGUAGGCGGAUAAAAAAGUCAGAAGUGAAAUCCUAUAGCUCAACUAUAGAACUGCUUCUGAAACUCUUUAUCUAGAAUAUGGGAGAGGUAGAUGGAAUUUCUGGUGUAGGGGUAAAAUCCGUAGAGAUCAGAAGGAAUACCGAUUGCGAAGGCGAUCUACUGGAACAUUAUUGACGCUCAGAUGCGAAAGCGUGGGGAGCAAACAGGAUUAGAUACCCCAGUAGUC